UUUAUUACCAACAUCGUUGGCAUCCCUGAGUAUGAGAGUUCAGAAGAAACUUAGAGGCUAUUGUCUGAUUCAAUCCUUGCAGCUUACAAAAAGAAAUGUGGGGAGCAGUCACUGUGUGACUAGCCUGAGGUCACUCAGGAAGUUAGAGGCAGAACUGCAGCCAGGGUCACCUCUCUUUACUGCUACUAGUGUGCUCUUUCUACUGCACCCUGAUCAUAAAACAUCUCCCAACCCAGGAACAAGGUCUACCGCAUAGGUGGUCACAGCACCGUGAUCACUCUCUCAGUCAUCUGUACUCCUCCUUUGCUUUGACCAAAGACACAGGAAGGGACCUUUUGCCCCACAUAAAACACCUCUCAGAGGCUUGGCAACAACAACAGAUAAUAGCAUUGACCUAAGACCAACAUUUCAACCAUGGUGUCAAAACAAUAUUUUAUUUCAGCAAAGAAAAACUAUGUCACAAGUGGAUUAUUAUUACUAAUAAUCAGACUAGUGGUACUUGCGGAUGACUUGGUUUCAUACUCACACUUGGACAACUAUGCACACUGAGUAUAACUGACCUUAUGAGAACAUCAUUCUCACUAAGAUUAUGAUGUGCUUUCUCACGUGGGAACUGUACAUGAUAUUGUGUGUACCCUUGGGAGGAUGUCCUGCCUGUGAUGUUGUCUUUCAGGGGAAGAAGAAUGGUUGAGAACUGAGGGUAUAUUAAACAUUUACUCCUCCAGAUUUUUCAAGAUUUCUGUUAAGCCAGAUCAGAAGAAAGCCAUCUAUUUGGAUUGCAUCACUCUAACCUGGAAAUACCAAUAUUUUUUGAGCAUGGCAAGUGUUCCCAAGCAUUCAGAAGUGGAGAGUGUAGGAAAUCCACUGCAGAAUGAGGUCUGCUUGUCAUCCUCUCAGUCUCAACUGCUCUCCCUCCUUCAUCUCUCUCUGUUUCAUUGAUGAGUACAGAAGAUCAGGCAUUUUUAUAUGAAGUGAAAAUUGAUGGAACUAAGGUGUUGAUUUGAAUAUCCAACCGACCAUUUAUUGAGUGUCCAUUACAAGUUAAAUUGUGUUGUAGAGAACAGCUCAGGAAACGAAUGCUUGACAUUGAUGUACAUAACAAAAAUACAAACAUACCAUUAAAAAAUCAGACCUCUUAUGAGCAUCCAGAUUCUCAUGUAAGUUUUGUGAAGCUCUUUCAAAAUGAGAAUGUAAAAUUUCAAAAAAAACAUCAUUUUCACAAGUCAUUCUUGAGACAGGAAAGUGGAAAUAGAAGUUCAUAUAUGGUUGUUUCACUAGCUCAAAUCUUAUGUACAGUUUUUAAUCCAUUGACACCCAUAUAAUUCUUAGUUUUAUAUACUGAUAGUCAUUAGAAAUUACAAAUUUUAAAAAAUAUUCAUGUCUCAUUCUACGAAUCAAUCUAAAAAUUGCAUUCAUUUGGUUAUAUUUCUUCAUUUUACCUGGCCUUGAAUACUUCUUUCCUGCCCAGGAUUAAAUUUAAUUAAUGUCUAAUUUGUUUACUUGGUUUAGUUAUUUUGGCCAUGUUCAGUACACUUGUUAUGAAGCAGGCAUGUAGGAAUGUUGACAAGUUUAUGAUCCUCACUCUUCCAAAUCCCUAAUGGCGGCACCCCAACAGACACAUACCACAAUGUAAACACAUACACACACACACAAUCACGCCCACCCAUACUCACCCACGUACACACAGACACACACACACACUCCAGUGGAUCAACACAUAAAACACUCCACAGGCAGACAUCGUACAGCAGGGAUCUCUUAGUGCACUGCACACUUCUGUAAAUUAUCAGGACUCUUGAAUUGAGGUGAGUCUACAGAGAUUUCAAAAGCUAUUUGAGUGCUAAGCUAUCUAACUAGUGGUUGGACACUAUUUAAAUAAUGCAUUAAACACAACUCUUGAGGCUCUGAAGAAUUUCUGUGCUUUCUAAUGAACCAGGAGUUACAAGGUCCUGAAAGCCACAACUGUGUUACAUCCUUUAAUAGAUAAAGCAAAGCUGAUUUUAAUGUGAAUAUACUUUAUAGUUAUUUCUAUUCCUGUUAAUUUUUGUUUGCUUGUAAUACACAUUUUUAUGUAACUGGGAGUAAGGAACAUCUUAGGAAAAAGAAAACAAAAAAUAAAAUUUCGCUGUUUACACUGUGCCUUGGUCCAGUAACCCUGCACUGCACAUAUACACUUUAAAUUGGUGUCUUGGGGAACCACUUUGGUAUUUCUUUUUUUUCUUUUAUGUUGUAAACCUUUCUU
rnacentral:lncRNA from 1 species